CAGUGUUCCUGCCCUCACGGGUAGAAACCCCCAUCCUUGUGUAUCAUAUCUUUGUUGCUUUGGCAGGCCGCCUUCGGGCACCGGCUCACGCUGGAUCGUGCCUGCCAGAGGACCCCAAAUUCUGAAUGUUAGUGUCGUCUGAGUACUAUAUAUAAUAGUUA
rnacentral:misc_RNA from 1 species